ACUCAACGAGGGCGGAACAGGCGGCCGCCACGCCAGAGAUGGUCUUUUAAGAGAUGCGUGAGUGCCAACACGCCGUUGAGU
rnacentral:ncRNA from 12 species